rnacentral:rRNA from 1 species
AACGAACGCUGGCGGCAGGCUUAACACAUGCAAGUCGAACGCCCCGCAAGGGGAGUGGCAGACGGGUAAGUAACGCGUGGGAAUCUACCCAGAUCUACGGAACAACAGUUGGAAACGACUGCUAAUACCGUAUACGCCCUACGGGGGAAAGAUUUAUCGGAUUUGGAUGAGCCCGCGUUGGAUUAGCUAGUUGGUGGGGUAAUGGCCUACCAAGGCGACGAUCCAUAGUUGGUCUGAGAGGAUGAUCAGCCACACUGGGACUGAGACACGGCCCAGACUCCUACGGGAGGCAGCAGUGGGGAAUAUUGGACAAUGGGCGCAAGCCUGAUCCAGCCAUGCCGCGUGAGUGAUGAAGGCCUUAGGGUUGUAAAGCUCUUUCACCGAUGAAGAUAAUGACGGUAGUCGGAGAAGAAGCCCCGGCUAACUUCGUGCCAGCCGCCGCCGUAAAAC